UGGGGGAGUAUUGCACAAUGGGGGGAACCCUGAUGCAGCGACGCCGCGUGGGUGAAGAAGCGCCUCGGCGCGUAAAGCCCUGUCAGCAGGGAAGAAAAUGACGGUACCUGAAGAAGAAGCCCCGGCUAACUACGUGCC
rnacentral:rRNA from 1 species